UACCAAGGCGAUGAUGCAUAGCCCCGAGUUGAGAGACUGAUCGGCCACAUUGGGGACUGAGACACGGCCCAAAUCCUACGGGAGGCAGCAGUAGGGAAUCUUCACAAUGGACGCAAGUCUGAUGGAGCAACGCCGCGUGAGUGAAGAAGGGUUUCGGCUCGUAAAGCUCUGUUGUUGGUGAAGAAGGACAGGGGGUAGUAACUGACCUUUGUUGACGGUAAUCAAUUAGAAAGUCACGGCUAACUACGUGCCAGCAGCCGCGGUAAU
rnacentral:rRNA from 1 species